rnacentral:rRNA from 1 species
AGCGGCGGACGGGUGAGUAAUGCUUAGGAAUCUGCCUAUUAGUGGGGGACAACAUUCCGAAAGGAAUGCUAAUACCGCAUACGUCCUACGGGAGAAAGCAGGGGAUCUUCGGACCUUGCGCUAAUAGAUGAGCCUAAGUCGGAUUAGCUAGUUGGUGGGGUAAAGGCCUACCAAGGCGACGAUCUGUAGCGGGUCUGAGAGGAUGAUCCGCCACACUGGGACUGAGACACGGCCCAGACUCCUACGGGAGGCAGCAGUGGGGAAUAUUGGACAAUGGGGGGAACCCUGAUCCAGCCAUGCCGCGUGUGUGAAGAAGGCCUUAUGGUUGUAAAGCACUUUAAGCGAGGAGGAGGCUACUGAGACUAAUACUCUUGGAUAGUGGACGUUACUCGCAGAAUAAGCACCGGCUAACUCUGUGCCAGCAGCCGCGGUAAUACAGAGGGUGCGAGCGUUAAUCGGAUUUACUGGGCGUAAAGCGUGCGUAGGCGGCUUUUUAAGUCGGAUGUGAAAUCCCCGAGCUUAACUUGGGAAUUGCAUUCGAUACUGGGAAGCUAGAGUAUGGGAGAGGAUGGUAGAAUUCCAGGUGUAGCGGUGAAAUGCGUAGAGAUCUGGAGGAAUACCGAUGGCGAAGGCAGCCAUCUGGCCUAAUACUGACGCUGAGGUACGAAAGCAUGGGGAGCAAACAGGAUUAGAUACCCUGGUAGUCCAUGCCGUAAACGAUGUCUACUAGCCGUUGGGGCCUUUGAGGCUUUAGUGGCGCAGCUAACGCGAUAAGUAGACCGCCUGGGGAGUACGGUCGCAAGACUAAAACUCAAAUGAAUUGACGGGGGCCCGCACAAGCGGUGGAGCAUGUGGUUUAAUUCGAUGCAACGCGAAGAACCUUACCU